AAAAGGAAAGAAGGAUAGAAGGAAAAUUAUGGUGAGAAACAAUUCGAACGUUACUGUGAUUCCCACUGAUGUUACUGUUACCUUUUUGUUGUACUUUUUGUUGUACUGGCUCACGCGAUAUAUAUUGUAA
rnacentral:ribozyme from 1 species